UACGGAGGGAGCUAGCGUUGUUCGGAAUUACUGGGCGUAAAGCGCACGUAGGCGGCUCAGCAAGUCAGGGGUGAAAAGUCCCCGGGGCUCAACCCCGGAACUGCCCUUGAAACUGCUAAGCUAGAAUCCUGGAGAGGCGAGUGGAAUUCCGAGUGUAGAGGUGAAAUUCGUAGAUAUUCGGAAGAAACACCACGAUGGUGGCAGG
rnacentral:rRNA from 1 species